rnacentral:misc_RNA from 1 species
CACGGCCAGCAUCAGAUGUAAGUAGUCCAAGUGCCUCAAUAAGGUACCCUAAACUGACCCAUAAUCCCAACUCCAUCCCUGCAUUGCGGAUCUUAACAUCAUCUCUUGCUUGAAACACAAAUGGUAAAAAUGGGAUUGCAGACAUCACAAACCGCAUAGCUGAGAAGGCUGCAGGAUCCAUCAUAGCUUCAACAGCUUUCACUACUGGAAUGUUACUUGCAUAGACAAUGGUGAUGAAAUUAAGCAAGAGAAUACUCCUGAUCUUGUCAGAGGCAAACAAAAUCUCCCUCAAGAAAGGCUGCUUCUUCUUCUUAACAUUCUCCG